rnacentral:rRNA from 1 species
UGCAGUCGAGCGGACCGACGGGAGCUUGCUCCCUUAGGUCAGCGGCGGACGGGUGAGUAACACGUGGGUAACCUGCCUGUAAGACUGGGAUAACUCCGGGAAACCGGGGCUAAUACCGGAUGCUUGAUUGAACCGCAUGGUUCAAUCAUAAAAGGUGGCUUUUAGCUACCACUUACAGAUGGACCCGCGGCGCAUUAGCUAGUUGGUGAGGUAACGGCUCACCAAGGCGACGAUGCGUAGCCGACCUGAGAGGGUGAUCGGCCACACUGGGACUGAGACACGGCCCAGACUCCUACGGGAGGCAGCAGUAGGGAAUCUUCCGCAAUGGACGAAAGUCUGACGGAGCAACGCCGCGUGAGUGAUGAAGGUUUUCGGAUCGUAAAACUCUGUUGUUAGGGAAGAACAAGUACCGUUCGAAUAGGGCGGCACCUUGACGGUACCUAACCAGAAAGCCACGGCUAACUACGUGCCAGCAGCCGCGGUAAUACGUAGGUGGCAAGCGUUGUCCGGAAUUAUUGGGCGUAAAGCGCGCGCAGGCGGUUUCUUAAGUCUGAUGUGAAAGCCCCCGGCUCAACCGGGGAGGGUCAUUGGAAACUGGGGAACUUGAGUGCAGAAGAGGAGAGUGGAAUUCCACGUGUAGCGGUGAAAUGCGUAGAGAUGUGGAGGAACACCAGUGGCGAAGGCGACUCUCUGGUCUGUAACUGACGCUGAGGCGCGAAAGCGUGGGGAGCGAACAGGAUUAGAUACCCUGGUAGUCCACGCCGUAAACGAUGAGUGCUAAGUGUUAGAGGGUUUCCGCCCUUUAGUGCUGCAGCAAACGCAUUAAGCACUCCGCCUGGGGAGUACGGUCGCAAGACUGAAACUCAAAGGAAUUGACGGGGGCCCGCACAAGCGGUGGAGCAUGUGGUUU